ACGAAUAUGCUGCAUUGCAUCGAUUGUUGUUGAUGUGGGUGAAUGUUGGAUGACCCAAUUAGUCCAUGACAGGAAGACCAGGACCCCAUUCUACGGCCUGGCACGGAAAUGAAAGACCAGGACCCCAUUCUACGGCCUGGCACGAUUGUGGACUCGAAGACCAGGAGCCCAGAGGAGGCCCUGGAAUAAUGGUAAGUAAUGUAUGUAUGACAGGAAGACCAGGACCCCAUGCUACGGCCUGGCACCAUGUUAGCUUGGACUAAUUGGUGACAAGUUCACCCAACCCUUAUGUGAAUUGUCUGUGUUAUGAUGCAUUUCAUAGAGCAUAGUGUUAAUGUGUUUUAAUAGCUCCGCUCACUGGGCUUUUAGCUCACCCCUCUCCCUUUACCCCC
rnacentral:lncRNA from 1 species